rnacentral:tRNA from 1 species
GGUUCCGAGGUGAAUUUCAUAUUGAAUUGCAAAUUCGAAGAAGCAGCUUUACCUCUGCCGGGGCU